rnacentral:rRNA from 1 species
UACGUAGGGACCAAGCGUUGUUCGGAUUUACUGGGCGUAAAGGGCGCGUAGGCGGCGCGGUAAGUCACUUGUGAAAUCUCUGAGCUUAACUCAGAACGGCCAAGUGAUACUGCAGUGCUAGAGUGUGGAAGGGGCAAUCGGAAUUCUUGGUGUAGCGGUGAAAUGCGUAGAUAUCGUAAGGAAGACCAGUGGCGAAGGCGGGUCUCUGGACAGUUCCUGACACUGAGACACGAAGGCCAGGGGAGCAAACGGG